GACGUAGGGGGCGAGCGUUGUCCGGAUUUAUUGGGCGUAAAGCGCGCGUAGGCGGUCCGGUAAGUCGGGUGUGAAAAUCCGGGGCUCAACCCCGGACCUGCAUUCGAUACUGCCGGGCUGGAGGCAGGUAGGGGAGAGUGGAAUUCCUGGUGUAGCGGUGAAAUGCGUAGAUAUCUGGAGGAACACCGGUGGCGAAAGCGGCUCACUGGUCCGGUACUGACGCUGAGGUGCGAAAGCGUGGGGAGCAAACAGG
rnacentral:rRNA from 1 species